UCUGAGGCUUUCUCCCCCUUUUCCGAUGAAAGGUGCCCCCGGAAGCUGAUACUUCGCCAUUUUAUUUUGGUCCCUAAGCAGACUUGCUGAGGAAAUUGCUUCUCCCCGGGGCCUGCAUUCCGUUACUGUUUGUAAUGUUAGCGGGUGUGGCCCAGCGGAAGAGGAUCGCUCCCUGGCUGCCCACUUACCGUUUUUAAAGCGGCAAUGCGGUAAUCGCUGAACCGUCACCCGACAUUCCUAGCGGCUGCGGGAAGAGCCCUCUCCUGCCCCGCUCGUUGCCUGACUACCUGUAACAGGUGUGCGGGCGAGUGCACUCCGUGAUGGAACCGAGUCCAGUUGAGGACCGGGCCCCCGCUGACACCUGGAGCUGCCAGGACCGGCUCUGGCUACUCAGGAUCCCAGCCUAGAAUAAAGGGAAAUGUGCAGUUGUCUAGCUCACAGGAAUAUCCACAAGCCAGACCCAGAAAGCCUUUGCCAAUAUUGACGAAGAUGCCAAGUCCAAAUCCCUCCAGCAGAAGACUCUUGAUCCCGUCGGGCUCCCCAGGAAAUGGACUCUAAGUUAAAGACCUGCGUGCAGAUGGCUUAUUGGAAGGUGAAGAGAACAGAGUGAGCAGAAGGAGAACUUUUGCUGCCACAGUCUCAAUAGGGACUCACACAGUUCCCCUGCUGACAUGUGAGCUGGACUAAGCCUUCAAAUAUUUCCCAAAUUGAGGCUCUUGGAAUGAGACUGACUUGAUACCUCCAUCUUUCCUGUAUUUUCGGCUUGCAGACAGUUGAUUGUGGGACUUCUCAGCCUCCAUAAUCAGCAUUUCCAGAGCCAGAAGCCGUUUUGGAGCUCUGCAUCCUAGCACUGGAGUUGGUGUCUGUUUGGCCGGAGAUGGACAGACUCCAGGCAGGGACAGCCCACAUCUGCAGCAUCACAGAGGGGAGGAGACGCAGGAACUAGAAUUCUGAGCUGCUCCUGCCGCCUGCUAGUUGUUAAGGAAAAUACCAGUCUCUUGGACCAUUCUGUACUGACUCAAGAGUGGAAGAGAAAUGCUUGUUGGAGGCUGUUCCUCAGGACACAUACUUUCACAACUAGUUUUGAGUUCUCUCAGAUCCAGAUGAAACAUGCGAAAAGAUAAAUGGCUUGGUGCUGUAUACAAACAAGUUCCAAACUAUAUCGGAAAUGGGGAGAAGUUUCCAAGAAGUGUCAUUAAAAUGAAUGGAGUUGAAAUGGGACAGAGGUGAGAGGCAGCAGCUAGAAAACUUUGAAUAAAAUGCACCUACAGCUAAAGAAAUAGACAAGCCUUUCUGACGGCCCUUGUGGCUCUGCAUUUGCAUACUACAGAUUCCACCUGCGUGACAGAAGCUGGGCUGCCGACGGAGCUGGAGGAGACUUGCGUGAAAUGUUCCACCAGACUCGAUGACGUUUAGUAGCCCAGAAAGCUGCCGAGGGGCCGAAUGACACUAUCUGAAGGGGACUCAACUCCAAGGAAGCCCAUUCAUACACCCAGCACGUUACUGAUGAUGUACAUCAUGGGUCCUGAUCCCCAGGCCACUGACUGGUACCCGUCAGCAACCAGGCCACAGCAGCAGGAGAUGGGACCAUCCAGUUGCAGGAAAACAAGCUCAGGACUCCCUCUGAUGCUACAACAUGGUUGGGGAGCAGUGGCAUGAUCACUGCUCACUGCAGCGUCCACCUUCCAUGUUCAAGUGAUCCUUCCACCUCAUCCUUCUACGUAACUGAGAUUACAGGUAUGUGCUACCGUGCCUGGCUAAUUUUUGUAUUUUUUGUAGAGACAGAGUCUUGGUAUGUUUCUCAGGCUGGUAUGGAACUCCUGGGCUCAAGCAAUCUUCCCGUCUCAGCUUCCCAAAGAGCUGAGAUUAUAGGUGUGAGUCAUCGUGCCUAGCCUAUUUCAUGUCAAUGCUGCUAAUGAGUCAUUUCAAACCAAUAUUUGGGGAUAUAAGAAAAAACAUAUAGAGAAAGCAUGGAAGGGAAAGAGUUAGAUUUGAGCAUAUGGAGAAGAACGGUAUCAGCAAGAAUGUGGAAAGAAAAUCGAAGCUUAUAAUUCCAUUUUUAAAAUAUUCUCCAUUUUAUAUUAUAAAAAUACAUUUGUCCACAUCAUUAUUUCCCACACGUUUUAAAAUGUGUGUACAUAUCUGUCUGAGUGAAUUAGAAAUUUUCGUUCAUUGUUGUGAAAAAUUACUUGCUUCUGACUUGGACUGAGGUCCUAGCUGAUCGGGAAAAUAGAAACUAUCCAUAGAAAUACCAGCUUUGUUUUUAAUUUUACUUACUUCUGAUCUCCAUUUGACAAAUUGUUUCUUUAAACUGAUGAAGUUCUAUUUCAUAUAUACAAUGUCAGCAUUUUAAAAAUGAUACAGUGAGUAGAAUAUAGAGAAAUACACUUAUUUCUACAGCUUAAAAGUAGGAAUAAUCUGAUCUUGACAUGAAGUUUGGAAGAGGUGACUUCACUGUUGAAGCUGCCCUGUGUUCCACCAGACAUAAAUUUUAAGUAUCUUUCACAGAUGAAUUGGCAUCACUUGCAAAUGGCUAGCAAUAACCUAUAUAACUCUCCCUCUUUUUCCUCCUCUUUCUUCCUCUCCUUCACUCCUUAAAAAUAAAAUAAAUAAAAUAAAUAAAUAAAUAAAUAAAUAAAUAAAUAAAAUUUCUUGUAGAGAUCUGGUCUCACUAUGUUGCCCAAGCUGAUUGUUAACUCCUGGCCUCAAGUGAUCCUUCCCCCUUGGCCUCCCAAAGUGCUUGGAUUACAAGGCCUGAGCCACCACACCUGGCCUAAACUGGUUUUGAUUAAAUCAGCAGACACCGUUCCCCCCCCCCACCCCCCGCACCAUUAGACCAUUCUCUCAUUGCUGUAAGGAAAUACCUGAGACUGGGCGGAGCCUAGCGGCUCACACCUGUAAUCCCAGCACUUCGGGAGGCUGAGGUGGGUGGAUCACCUGAGGUCAGAAGUUCGAGAUCAGCCUAACAUGGUAAAACCCCAUCUCUACUAAAAAUCCAAAAAUAAAAAAAAUAAAAAAAUUAGCUGGGUGAGGAGGUGCUAAACCAUUCAUGAGAAAUCCCCCCUCCAUGAUCCAGUCACCUCCCACCGGGGCCCACCUCCAAGACUGAAAAGAAUAAUAAUAAUAACCU